UCGGACCCGGAGAACAUGGCGAGAUUUGGGUGCAGACGCCCAGUGCAACACCAGGUUACGUACUGCACGACGGCCAGCUUCAGCGCGUGGUGGACGACAAUGGCUGGCUUCACACAGGCGAUAUUGGAUACUACAACCAAGACGGACGCUUCUUUGUGGUUGAGCGACUCAAGAGCAUUAUCAAAUGCCGAGACUACAGAGUGUUUCCUCAUGAGCUGGAAGCUAUACUUAACACUCAUCCAGCAGUCAUCGAAGCCUGCGUCGUAGGGAUUCCAGACGAUGAAGUGACCGAAGCGCCAACUGCGUUUGUUGUGAGAAGCAAAAACGACCAUGGCGAACCCCUUGUAACAGAAGAGGAACUGGUGGACCUUGUAGCAAGUCAAACAGUGUACUACAAGCACCUGUACGGUGGAGUGGUGUUCUUAGAAAAAUUACCAAGGACGGCGAAUGGGAAGACGAACGUGAAGGAACUGCGCUGCUGGAACACGUCUGCACAGGACGUUGAAAAUUUCAAAAAACAUGAUUUCAGUAAUAAGUGACAAGUAUAUAUGGCUAAGACGCUAG
rnacentral:lncRNA from 1 species